rnacentral:ncRNA from 1 species
UAAACACCAGGCGAUGGAUUCCGCCUUGGACCUAGGUCCAGAACCUCCGUGCAUAGUGCGGAUAAUGACUCCUGCCAGAUU